UACGGAGGUUGCAAGCGUUGUUCGGAAUUACUGGGCGUAAAGGGAGCGCAGGCGGUUGGGUAAGUCUGAAGUGGAAGCCCGGGGCUCAACCCCGGAAGUGCUUUGGAUACUGCCUGACUUGAGUACGCGAGAGGAAAGCGGAAUUCCAGGUGUAGCGGUGAAAUGCGUAGAUAUCUGGAGGAACACCGGUGGCGAAAGCGGCUUUCUGGCGCGUUACUGACGCUGAGGCUCGAAAGCGUGGGGAGCAAACGGGAUUAGAUACCCCGGUAGUCCACGCCGUAAACGUUGUGCACUAGGUGUGGGAGGUAUCGACCCCUUCCGUGCCGCAGCUAACGCAUUAAGUGCACCGCCUGGGGAGUACGGUCGCAAGACUGAA
rnacentral:rRNA from 1 species